rnacentral:lncRNA from 1 species
CCCUCUAAUAGUGAAGAUACCACCCUACAAAGUGUUAUACACAGAAGUUAUAGAAUAUAGAUUAUUAUGGUAGUAAAGUAGUGUUCAACAACAACAAAAUAAGGUCCUUAAAUUCAAGCUCAAUUAGUCUUCUUUGUUCCAUAGACCAGCCACAAUUUGGAAUGGCUUUGCUUCUUCACAAACAAACCAUCCAACUCAGUCCCUGCCAUUUUAAUCAAUACUAUCAAGGAUUUUAAACUGAGAUCAGUAAUCGCAAUUGUGACCAUAAUAUUAUGACUUCAAUUAUAAUGGCAUUUCUUCGCAAUUAUGGUAAACAUAAUAUAAUCCAGAACUGUAAUGAUAACCGCAAUUUAAAACCAUAAACACAACAAAGAUGAUAUCAAGGAUUUUGGAAUGUUUAAUACUUGAAUGGAAAUAUAAUAUACCUGAUAUUGAUUGGAAAAUGCUCUUUAAAUCAAUAAUACUCUCUUUGAUCCUUGUUGGGUAUUUACUUGGUUUAGGAAUGGAAUUUGUCCCUCUCUGAAGUCUUGUUCAACUUUUAGCUAUUCUCUCAAGUAUCUGAUCUUAGCCUAAGCAGAAAUCCAAUCCAAACAUCAUAUUUCAUCACCAAAGUUAGAUAUAAAUAUAGUUAAUAAGAGUUAGGGAUGGUCUCACCACAAAUACUCUUAAAAGAAGUACUAAAAAAGGUACAAAAUAAGAAUCAAACUAAGAAGUGAAAAAAUAAAGAUGUAGCUUAAUUUAAACCAUGUAAAUGGUGUGUUAUUUUCUGAACUCUUUGGCUAUAUGAACCCCAUGGUAGACACAGAAAUUUGCUAUGGAACAAGGUAUGGUGCUAAUGCUUUGACAUUAAAAAAAAAACCAUAGAAAGUGAGUGACUUUAGUACUAUUUAUCUAAUGGAUGGUGAGCUUCAAAACAAAGUCACUUUGUGUAGUUGUUUGAAAUGUGAAAGCUUUUUAGCUAGAAUUGGCAAAUAAGUUAUAGCUUUGCUGUGUCUACAAUGGGAUUCAUAUGGCCAGGAGCUGAAUAUUGAAGAAAUAUUAC